GUGCUUCUUACUGUGUGUAUUUAUAUGUAUAUGUGUACAUAUAUAUGUGUACACACACACACACACACACACACACACACACACACACACACAC
rnacentral:miRNA from 1 species